rnacentral:rRNA from 1 species
AUUGAACGCUGGCGGCAUGCCUUACACAUGCAAGUCGAACGGCAGCACGGGUGCUUGCACCUGGUGGCGAGUGGCGAACGGGUGAGUAAUACAUCGGAACAUGUCCUGUAGUGGGGGAUAGCCCGGCGAAAGCCGGAUUAAUACCGCAUACGAUCUACGGAUGAAAGCGGGGGACCUUCGGGCCUCGCGCUAUAGGGUUGGCCGAUGGCUGAUUAGCUAGUUGGUGGGGUAAAGGCCUACCAAGGCGACGAUCAGUAGCUGGUCUGAGGGGACGACCAGCCACACUGGGACUGAGACACGGCCCAGACUCCUACGGGAGGCAGCAGUGGGGAAUUUUGGACAAUGGGCGAAAGCCUGAUCCAGCAAUGCCGCGUGUGUGAAGAAGGCCCUCGGGUUGUAAAGCACUUUUGUCCGGAAAGAAAUCCUUGGCCCUAAUACGGUCGGGGGAUGACGGUACCGGAAGAAUAAGCACCGGCUAACUACGUG